AGAUGUGGCAUAAGGGGACGACAAGCGGAUAAGAGGCAAUCCAUAAUUUCGAUUAAGACAAUCAGCGAGCUAGGACGGACAGUCAAUAUAACUUUGUUUAGCACAUUUGAAAUGUACCACGACAGAAUUCAGAACAUGGGCCGUUCUUACAGUGUUCUCCCUGUACACCAAGUCAGAACUGUAGGAUAAAUAAAGGGGGCAUAUAAGCAGAUAAUGAAAGCUCUUACAAUAUUUGAUGAUUACAUUUCUCUAAAACACAUUAUAGGCUAUAUGUGCACCACCAAGUCAGAACAGUAGGCAAAAUUAAGAGGGGUAAAUAGACCAUAUUAUUAGGGUGAGGCACAUGGGCUACUAACAUUAUACGACACAACAUAGUAUUACUUUCUUAGCUACAGUAUGCAUACUACAUAAUUUAUGCAGCAGCAUACAAUACAUGUUUGGACUCACCUUGUGCUGUGCUCACUUCAACAAAAAGGUGGCGUGGCAGUCCUUGGGAAAAUUUGGUCAUCAAAGUCUGGCAUUCUCUGGAUUUAUGGUGCUUUCAAAACAACUGGGAACUCUGGGGGGGAGGGAAAACAAGGUUGAAUCAUGAUGUCAUUGAUCUUGAGGUCGUAGCUCUAGAAAGAGGUCGGAUUUACAAUUCCAAGUUGGAUGACCGUUUCCAGUCGGAGCUCGUUUAUUCCCGAUUUACCAGUUGUCUGAAGUUUUCACCGUUCCGAGUUAAGUUGUUUUGAGCGUGGCACAUAACAUGCUUCAUUGACUGCAUGGCCAAUGUUCAAUGUUUAUCAUUUUAAACUGGGAAAAGAGAACCUUAAUCCCAGAUUUGGGACCACACAGCCACUCCACUGAAUAGUAGGCUAUUGAUUGUUUUGCAAUGCUUGCAGUUAGCCACUGUCGCUGAUUCCUUCCAAACCACUCAUUGUUGAAUUUGUGAUUUCCAACUUGUGUGAUGUUUAUAUCCAAUGGCCGAUGAGCACCGAUACAUUUUCAUUUCUCUUCAUAUGACAAGGGUUAAAAAGGGGGCUGGGGCCUCCCGAGUGGCGCAGCGGUCUAAGGCACUGCAUCGCUGUGCUAGCUGCGUUACUACAGAUCAUGGUUCGAUAUCAGGCUUUGUCGCAGCCAGCCGCAACAUGAGGUGUACAAUCGUCCGGGUUAGGGGGAGGGUUUGGCUGGCCGGGAUGUCCUUGUCCCAUCGCGCUCUAGCGACUCCUGUGGCGGGCUGGGCGCAAGCACGCUGACACAGUCGCCAAGUGUACUGUGUUUCCUCCGACACAUUGGUGCGGCUGGCUUCCGGGUUAAGCAUGCAUUGUGUCAAGAAGCAGUGCAGCUUGGCGGGGUUGUGUUUCGGAGGACGCACGGUUCUCGACAUUCGCCUCUCCAGAGUUCGUACAGGAGUUGCUGCGAUGGGACAAAGAUUAACUACCAAUUGGAUAUCACGAUAUUGGGGAGGAAAAAGGGGGUAAAAAAAAAAGAAAUAUGGAGUUGCCAGUAGAUUGUUGACUUGAUUCAUGAUGAUUGCUAGCAAAGAUUUUGAAAAUAUGAUAUGAUCAGUCCAAUCAAAGCUACUGUACAUAUAACGUGAUUUAACAUUUUAUCUGUGGCCAAUGACCUCGAGCCUUCUUGGAUGGGCACUUCUAAUGUACUCUAUGGCAGCACCCAAGGGUCUAGAAUUUUCUAGCUCUACCCUUAGACUUGAUGGUGACGUAGUGUCCCCAUGAGUGACAGAACACUGAGCCAAGCAUGGCGCAACGCUUGUCCUACCACCACAGAAAGCACUGAGCUAGGCUGAAACACCUGAAUUUUGGAGUAGCCUUACUCAAGAAAACAAAAGAAGAGACCAUGUUUUUAUGCGGCUUUAUUAACACGAUUUAUUUUUUUUACAUUGUUUGCAAACUGAUAUGUGACACGUAUUAAUGCCAAAAUAAUAUGCAAAAGAGGCUAACUCAAAAUAUAUAUAUAAUUUGUUGGGCUCGAAUGACGGGUCCCCACUGCGUUCUAUGUUCUCACGUUGGGUUUUCUAAAACGCUAAACGGAUGCUGCUCUCAUCUGUGAUGCAACAUCUCCAAUGUGUUGGCUACGUGGUUGAUCUCAAACACGUGUCAUUCAAUCAUUGGUUAAUUUGUGCGGUGUGCAGAAAAUGAAUACCUAAAGGUUCCACAGUUAUAGGUGCAGUAAUCUUGAUAAUAAUUUGGGAUGAACAAUCACAUUCGGAGGGAGGACUAAACCAUUUAACAGCCACAGCUCCAUGAGCGGUUCGCUUCUGCAGAGCAAAGGAAGUUGUGUAUGAAGUGUCGCAUACCCAGAGGCCCAUGGUGGACGGACAUCUAAUCAUCCCCUAGAAACGUUAUUUAGAAAAUCAGACAAAGAAAGGAAGGCCAAAUCAAAGGAAAGGACCAUUUCAAAAUGAUAAAGAACCAUGUUGAGCAAUGCAUGUUAUGUUGAUUGUAUUUAUUGUACAUGGCAUGUUUUCACAGGACUCCCGUGGAAUUGAAAAAGGUGACGCUUCAGAAAGCCAAGAACGGAAAUGGCAAGACUGAGAUCAAGUUUACAGACAAGUCCACAAUUUCUGUCAUCAAACAUUUACCCUAUAGUCAACGAGGAUCCCUGGCUGACCUUCAAGAAACCAAGGGAAAGAAGGUGAACGUUACUGUUCUUGUGAUCCGGAAGCUGAAUGAGAGCCAAGGUAAAACACGAGCUGGGCACAGACAUGCGAAAGGUGGAGUAUAGUGUUGCUGAUUUGAACGCACUUGCUGAGCUAACCGUGUGGAAACCGAAGAUGGUUGAAGAGGGGCAAUGGUACAGAAUCACCAACGUCUCUGCUGGUCAGUUUUGGGGCAGGAUCACACUGGGUACAACACCAUCCAGUGUAAUUUAGUGUGGCUAAUCAUAGAUGUGAGAAGUUUAAGGGGAAAAUCUGUGGAGCCAGUUUGUCCCAAAUGGGAAGGAAAACCAGUGGAAUGAUCUUCAUAGACAAGACAGACAAUAUUCUGAAGGUAGAUGACGCUGCCAUCAGGAGUGCUCUAAAUGGAAAAUGUAUUGAGAGUAUGUCUACAGCUGGAGACAGCGCUAAAUGAAGUACUGGUCGAAGUCACAGUGCUUGAUAAACUUGUAUCAAUUACCCCUCUACCAGUCUAAUCAAUUUUUGUUUUUCUCACCCAGUCACACACAAUAGCCCAUAAUGACCAAGUGAAAACAUGUUUUUAGAAAUGUUUGCAAAUGUAUUGAAAAUGAAAUGCAGAAACAUCUAAUAAGUGUUCACACCCCUGAGUUAAUACAUGUUAGAAUCACCUUUGGCAGUGAUUACAGCUGUGAGACUUUCUGAAUAUGUCUAAGAGCUUUCCACAUCUGGAUUGUACAAUAUUUCCGCAUUAUUCUUUUUUUAAAUUCUUCAAGCUCUUAAGUGUUGAUAUUUUCUAGUCUUGCCAUAGAUGUUCAAGCUGAUUUAAGUCAAAACUGUAACUUGGCCAUUCAGGAACAUUCAAUGAAAUCUUGGUAAGCAACUGGCCUUGUGUUUCAGGUUAUUGUCCUGCUGAAAGGUUCAUUUGUCUCCCAGUAUCUGUUGGAAAGCACACUGAACCAGGUUUUCCUCUAGAAUUUUCCUUGUGCUUAGCUCUAUUUCGUUUUAUUUUUAUCAAACUCCUCAGUCCUUGCCGAGGACAAGCAUACCCAUAACAUGAUGCAGCCAUUGACCAAACAUUUUGUAUUUAUGUUAUACAUUUUAUAUAAUAUAAAAAUCUGGACUUUAUUUUAUUUAUUUUAGUUGUAGCCUAGACUAACAAACUGAUUGUAUUUUACAGUUGAUAUAGGAAUACAUUUGUUUAUGUAUCAAUA